rnacentral:rRNA from 1 species
UGGGGAAUAUUGCACAAUGGGCGCAAGCCUGAUGCAGCCAUGCCGCGUGUGUGAAGAAGGCCUUCGGGUUGUAAAGCACUUUCAGCGGGGAGGAAGGCGAUAAGGUUAAUAACCUCAUCGAUUGACGUUACCGACAGAAGAAGCACCGGCUAACUCCGUGCCAGCAGCCGCGGUAAUACGGAGGGUGCAAGCGUUAAUCGGAAUUACUGGGCGUAAAGCGCACGCAGGCGGUUUGUUAAGUCAGAUGUGAAAUCCCCGGGCUCAACCUGGGAACUGCAUCUGAUACUGGCAAGCUUGAGUCUCGUAGAGGGGGGUAGAAUUCCAGGUGUAGCGGUGAAAUGCGUAGAGAUCUGGAGGAAUACCGGUGGCGAAGGCGGCCCCCUGGACGAAGACUGACGCUCAGGUGCGAAAGCGUGGGGAGCAAACAGG